rnacentral:tRNA from 1 species
GGGCUGGGGCUCGGCGGUAGAGCGCUCGCCUAGAGCGUGCAAGGCCCUGGGUUCGAGCCUCAGCACCAUAUCA